rnacentral:rRNA from 1 species
AGCAUGUGGUUUAAUUCGAAGCAACGUCGAAGAACCUUACCAGGUCUUGACAUCCUUUGAAUGGUCUAGAGAUAGAUCAGGCUUCGGGACAGAAGAGACAGGUGGUGCAUGGUUGUCGUCAGCUCGUGUCGUGAGAUGUUGGUUAAGUCCCGCAACGAGCGCAACCCUUAUCAUUAGUUGCUAACAUUCAGUUGAGAACUCUAAUGAGACUGCCAGUGAUAAACUGGAGGAAGGUGGGGAUGACGUCAAAUCAUCAUGCCCCUUAUGACCUGGGCUACACACGUGCUACAAUGGCCGGUACAAAGAGUUGCGAAACUGUGAAGUUAAGCUAAUCUACAUAAAGCCGGUCUCAGUUCGGAUUGUAGUCUGCAACUCGACUACAUGAAGUCGGAAUCGCUAGUAAUCGCGAAUCAGAAUGUCCGCGGUCCGAAUACGUUCCCGGGCCUU